CACCGCGGCCGCGGGGAAGAGCGGGUCCAUGGAGCACAACCACCUCCACCUCCACAACGGCUCCCUCCUGGCGCACCACCGCUAUGGCUGCGGCUUGGGAUACGCACCCGUCGUCUACUACAGCCUGCUGCUCUGCCUGGGGCUGCCGGCAAACAUCUUGACAGUCAUCAUCCUUUCCCAGCUUGUGGCUCGCAGACAGAAGUCCUCCUAUAACUAUCUUCUAGCUCUAGCUGCUGCUGACAUCCUGGUUCUCUUCUUCAUUGUCUUUGUUGACUUUCUCAUGGAAGACUUCAUCUUAAACAAACAGAUGCCUCAGGUACUGGACAAAAUAAUUGAGGUCUUGGAAUUUUCUUCCAUCCACACCUCCAUUUGGAUUACGGUUCCACUAACAAUCGAUAGGUAUAUAGCUGUGUGCCAUCCACUGAAGUAUCACACAGUCUCCUACCCUGCUCGUACUCGGAAAGUCAUUGUAAGUGUCUAUAUCACCUGCUUCUUGACCAGCAUUCCAUACUACUGGUGGCCCAACAUUUGGAUCGAAGACUACAUAAGCACAUCAAUGCAUCACGUCCUCAUCUGGAUCCACUGCUUUACCGUUUACUUAGUGCCCUGCUCCAUCUUCUUCAUCCUGAAUUCCAUCAUUGUGUACAAGCUGCGGCGCAAGAGCAAUUUCCGACUGCGAGGGUACUCCACAGGGAAAACAACAGCCAUUUUGUUUACUAUAACUUCUAUUUUUGCCAUACUUUGGGCACCAAGAAUAAUCAUGAUUUUGUAUCACCUCUAUGUAUCGCCUAUAAACAACAGCUGGGUGGUACAUAUUGUGUCGGACAUCGCCAAUAUGCUAGCACUGCUGAACACUGCAAUUAAUUUCUUCCUCUACUGUUUUAUUAGCAAAAGAUUUCGCACAAUGGCAGCUGCCACACUGAAAGCCUUCUUUAAGUGUCAGAAGCAACCUGUGCAAUUCUAUACAAACCAUAACUUUUCCAUAACAAGCAGCCCUUGGAUUUCCCCAGCCAACUCUCACUGCAUCAAAAUGCUUGUUUACCAGUAUGAUAAGAAUGGAAAGCCUAUAAAAAUAUCACCAUGAAAAGGGCAAUAGUUGGAGUUUCUGGGUGCAAGUUCUUUUCAAGUGGUUACAUCUUCAGGAUGUAAUUUGCUGAAAUGGCUGUUUUGAAGAGUGGUCAUUUGAUUUCAUUUCCCUGGGAGCCUGAGGGCAGAUCAGACUGUUAGAAGGGAACAGUAGCACUUGAUUUUAGGAGCAGAAGUGAGAAAGCAAACACCUCCGUCUCCUACGCAGCAUUUUGAAUAUGCUUCAGAGUUCAAGUCUUAGUGUUCAGUCGCACUCAAAUGUUUUGCAUCCCAGCACCAGUGCAGUCCAAAGUCAUUGGAGAGGGGAAGCCACAACAGUGUUUAAUUACAACCUUUUAAAACACAACAACAAAACCUUACUUGACCAUGCGGUUCACUAUUGACAGAUGCUUCUAUGUACUGUGGAAGGCACCAUUUCUGGUGUGUGCAUUUGCCAAAAAUGAUGUGUUGGUUCUGACAUGAAAUACCACCACAGUCUUGCUGUCAAGACCUUGUUGCAGGAGGCAGCCUGCGAGACAUGAACUGUAACAAGCCCGUUUUGGCUCAUUUGAGCAAGGCUCGAGGACUGAUGUAGUACCUGUUGCAGCCUUGGCAUGGAAAUCCUGCAAGCUGCCAAUAUUAAUCUGUUUUAAGUUAUUUAAGAAUGUGACCAAGACAGGGGAGCUGGAGGGAGGGAGGUUUCUAGAGCCAAGAACAAAAGCAGCAUCUUUUCCCAGCUAUUUCAGUUAUGGUGUCUAAAGUCUUUGAAGUGUGAGGCCAAGUUCUGCCUGAUGCAGAGCUCCCACCAAAGCUGCUUCUGCAAGAUUUGGAGUGAUCACAGCCUUCAGCUUCCUUCUUAAUUAAUAAAAAUUCUCAGUUAUCCCUUGUCUUCAGCUAUUUAGGGAUUAACAUAUGAAAACUUCAGUCCAAGAUUUUUCCUGACGGAUUAUGCCAUCCUAUUGCAGAAUUGCCCUUUGUUUAAAAAAAACCCACUAUUUGUGAAAAAACAAUCCAUUAAAUACCCAACAGCAGUAAAAACAUAGAUCAGUUCAGACUAAGGCUUUUAAAUAUUUACCUUAUUUAAAGUAGCUUAACUUCUCUCCCUUCGCACUCAAAAACCAGCACCCCAGCAAUGCUGAGUGUAUGAAAACGAGAAAAGGUUUACAGGAAGGCUGAAAGUGCAUUUCUUUUAAUUUCUCUCCUUUUCAGAUCUUGGCACGUGGUGUCUCAGAGCCACAUACCACAACCUUUUUACUUCUAUAUUGGGCACUUAAUGCAGCCCUACUGAUCGUGAGAGCAGACUUCCUUGCAUGGUGAACACAAGCACAAUGUGGUCCCAGCAGCUUCUCAGUAACUGGAAAUAAGAAGUAGCCCGGUGCUAGCACUGCGUUUGUGCCUGUGCCCAUCUCCAUUGCCAGUAGGGAGCUUGUGGUGACCUAACAUAGUGAGGUCCCCUGAGAAGGGAGCCAGUCAAUCCCACUUUGGUGGGAUUUGAGGGCUGAAAUCAUCUCUCUAAAAACUCAUGGAUGGCUCAGCUUUGGUGCAUUUUCCCUAAGAAACAUCAAGACUGCCAAAGUCCUGCUGAGGACAACAGCCUGGUUCCCUUCUGCCACAAAGGUUGCAUUACUGACUCAUACUGGCGUCCUGCAAGAGCAAAACCCACGCCAAACCUGAGCACACCUUCCCCAGGAGGGAAUGGCAGCAGAAGGCACAACCCAUG